AAGACCUUGCGCUUUUGGAGCGGCCGAUGCCUGAUUAGCUUGUUGGUAAGGUAAAAGCUUACCAAGGCUUCGAUCAGUAGCUGGUCUGAGAGGACGGCCAGCCACACUGGGACUGAGACACGGCCCAGACUCCUACGGGAGGCAGCAGUGGGGAAUUUUGGACAAUGGGGGCAACCCUGAUCCAGCCAUGCCGCGUGAGUGAAGAAGGCCUUCGGGUUGUAAAGCUCUUUCAGCCGGAACGAAACGGUUACGGUUAAUGCCCGUGAUUACUGACGGUACCGGAAGAAGAAGCACCGGCUAACUACGUGCCAGCAGCCGCGGUAAUACGUAGGGUGCGAGCGUUAAUCGGAAUUACUGGGCGUAAAGCGUGCGCUGGUGGUUUUGUAAGUCAGAUGUGAAAGCCCCGGGCUCAACCUGGGAACU
rnacentral:rRNA from 1 species